GCUCACAAAACCACGGAAGGAGGGACAGACAGGGUGCUCUGAGCAUUUUCUGCAAAGGAAUAGUUACAGGCCAUCAUCCACUUAAUGAAGAAAUCCACACGCUGAGCACCACGUGAAAACUUGGAAUAAUCAGAGCCAGACAGUAUUUACACCUCUGUAAGCAAACAAGAGAAUUUCCACUUCUCUUCCUGCCCCCAGAAGUGAAUAGUCUCUGACAUUGCUUAUGCCUGCUGGGCUCCACACUAGAACAUAAACCCUUGACAGAAGUGAUGAAAGAAAGGGCUCUGUUGCUUCAUUCCCCAAAAAUAAAUACUUUUUUACAUCAAAAGCAAAAGCCACAGAUAUUUGACAUUUACAUAUAUUAUCUGUAUAGGAAGAGAUAUUCACCCCUGGAUAUAUUAGGUGGUUACACACCUAGCAUGACUCAUCUCAGUGAUGACACAAAGCCUUUAUACCACAACUUUUUAUUAUUAGUUCUGAAAAACAAUCAUUUCAGUGAAAAAAACAAACAUUACAUUGGAACAUGCUCUCCUAUCAUCUUUCACACAUACUUUCAAACUAGUUGGUGGGGGUUUUUCUGCCUAGGCAUAUUUAAAUUAAUCAUAAAGACAAAAAAUAUAUUAGAAAAAAAGUAAUUAAAUGGUCCUCUCAAUUUCAGUGAGACAGAACUGUAAUAAUCAUCAACUGAACUCUAAUUUUAAAAUUACAAUCUUAUAUUAACUUCAAGGGUUCAACAGUGUGACAUUGCUCUAAGAUGGAAUUUAAAAUAGGAAACUGCAAAGUGGUGCUAGGCCAAACUCAGCAUUCAUUUACAGAUCAAACCCAAUGUGGGGAAAGUUUUCUCCUCAUGUAGGUAAGAAAAACUUCAGGCUUAGAAGAGACAGAACAUAUCUCACAAAAGCAGCAUUUAUUGCUUUCAAAAUGAAAGACAGGUGAGCUGGGAACCAUAGAAACUGAACAACCUCAUCCCUGGGCAUAUUUUUAAAAACCACAUCCAGCCCUGUCCUUCAGUUACAUCAUAAAUUCUGCAAAUGUCAAGAGAACUGAAGGUUUUGGAUCACUCAGAUUUCUCCUAUGAAAAAGCAUGGGAUACAUCUAAGCAUCUUUUACAGAUUUAUUUAUGAACAACCCUACAUUUAAUAUAGUUGGAUAAUUCAGGUUUACUCAGUGCCAAGAGAUCUGUUUCAGAGUAAAGGAAAAUUCAUCCCCAAUUAAAGCAGUGGUAAAAUACAGGCACUCACUCCCAAAGCAGAGAUUUGAGAAAGUGCAGACUGUGCCUAAUGACUUUUAGUUCUGAUGGGUGAUUACUGUGCUCUGUAAUGGGCUGACAGAAACAGCUGAUUCUAUUACAAGGACAUGUUCUGGCAAGGAUUCUCUUUCUGUUGCAUUUAAAUUAUAAAUAUGGACUCUCCUGAAAAUAUCAAGACAAAAGAUACUAAUCGAUAUCUAAAACUUCUGCCUUCUGUCCUUUACCAUACUUCAAAUUAGAACAAACACUGACCUCAUCACCAGGAAAAGCCUUGCAGGUACUCAGGUCUGUCUGCACUGUAAUUUCUCUGCUGUGCAUUCCUCUUCAUCCUCUACUCCUUUUAGAAAAAAACUGCAAGGUUUUUUUAAUUCAGCUGUUGGCUUCAAAGUGAGGUUUUAAGGUAUAUUCCUGUUUGCAUUUAUGGGCACAGAAAAAAUUUCCAAAGACUUCGCAAGACCCGAAAAUUCAUCACCAAUUGUCACUGAACAGUCUCUUUCUUCAAAGAGGAUUUGGGAAGGGGCUUUUCCUCAACUUGACAGGUCUCAAAACCACAAGUCUAAUCAAUGGCCUUGUUCACACUUUCAGGUUGAAUUCAAUGCAUGAUUAAAGCAUUCAGCUCAGAAUAGCUUCUGGGGAGCCAAAAAGUCUUUAAUACAAUGUUUUUAACUCGAUGUCUGAAAUGUGCUAUAGGAGAACUUGAAUACCAGAACCAAAGUCCCUGCUCCUCUGAUACAUAUUUCAUAAAAGCUACAAAAAAAAAGCUACUCAUACUGGAAAGAAAAAGCAGCAUGGAACUGCAAACUAUCUAACAGGCAAAAAGCUUCAGUACAUCGAAGCAUUUAAGUACAAAUGGUGUUCACACUACCUAAAAACCAGGUCUAUACCUCUGCACAAGCUUUCCCACUGCUCUUUUUUGAAGUUUUGAUGUCAUUUUCUUUUGUCUAUCCCACCUCACUAACAACCAGCCCAAGCUCAAUAGCUUUUUGCAGAGUAGAAGUUACAAUUUUGAUGUGCUGCUAUGUGGAUUAGAAGACUUCUUAUACAAAGAAUGUUUGCUGUGGACAAUAAAAAAAUUCUUAUGUUGAUAACUAAUAGGGGGGAAAAAAGUAUGAGAUAUUUCACUGAACUUGUUACAUUUUUGAGAGGGACCAAACUGCAAAGAAAUAACGAAAAAUAUGGAAGUUUAGUGACCAUCUGUGAAGAACUAACCGAAAUAGCUUUCAAAGAAUGACUCAAGGUUUCAUUUCCUGAUAGCAACCAUCUACCCAUGCUCCAUGGUAUGAUAAGUUAUCUUCUCCAUCAAGAAAAUUCUUGGUUUAUUUCCCUUAGAUGUUUAACCCCUUAAUCCCUAUUUCCACAAUGUUUUCUCUCGAGCAAUGCUGCCACAAGCUGUACUGGUGCUCCCAAAUUCUCACAACAGAAGUGCAAUUUCAGCAGCCAGAACAAAGGAUUAGUAAAAGCAUUAAAGUGAUCCUGCAGAAUCACUCAGUGCAUACACAAAAAUUGAGUGAAUUUCAUUAAUUCAUUCUCCUCCAAAUUUAAAUGCUGUGAAAACUGAUAAUUUUCAUUUCAAUAAAACAGUUUAGAAACUGAUAAAAUAGUUCCAAUGUGGUUUGACUGCAACAGGCUCAAAUCUCUUUUAACAUGUCUCACUUUUCAGUUUCUCACAAAGUAAAAAGCACAGCAAAGAAAAGGCAAGAUGGUGAUUCCCAUUUAAAUUCCCAUUUAAAUCCUAUUCUCGGAGCUGAAACAUCGCUCCGAAUUCACCACUGGAUUUUAAGCAUUUCAGUUUAAUCAGGAGGAAAGAAACUGGAGAUUUAAAGAUUUAUUUUUAAUGCAAACUUUGUACUUGUUGAAUUCAGAAUUUUAACACCAGAAAGCAAACCCACCUUCUAGUCAAGGAAUUACAGAGGACUGGCUAUAGGGGGAUUCCUCUAACACACACACCCAAAAGAAACCCAGUGCAGCUCCUGGGGUUAGUCCAGAUUUACAUAUAUGCUAAAUGAAAAUUUAGACUUAACAGCUCAAAUGAUCUUUCCUCACUUACAUGAUUUUAAAAAAAGGUGUGUCACAGGUACCACUUUAUUUUCACUGUUUUUAAUUCCACAGUAGCUUUUUAAAUAAUGAAUAUUUAUUUUCUGCACAUCACUUACUUUUGUAGAAGUAUUUAUCUUUGAAACAUUUAAAAGUCAGGUUAGUAUUUAUUAAAGAAAAAUCCUAGGAUGGCUCACCUGGACAAGAACUAUCAGAGACUGGGCAACAAAACCAUUUAAAAGCAGUUUUUCAGAUGUAGUGAGCCUGGUGUCUUACUAGGUGAGCCCCUGGGAAAGUCUAUUGCUUUGUUAACAUGGUGUUGGGUUAUUUUUCAGAUGAAGGUAAAGCAACUCAAGUCAUAUUCCCUCCCCCACCUGAAAGAAGCUGCCCAGCAUUUAUGUCCAGAGUGCUUAAAUUGCUGUGUACAUGCUCCUUAAAAAAUAAAAUCAAUAGACAUUAUGCCUACUCUCUUAAAAAUCAAUACACAUUAUAGAUUAAUAAAAUAUUCUUUUCAUUUUCCCAUUUUCAUUUUAUUCCAAUUGAAUGUUUAUAGCCUCUCUACUGAAGUUUAACAUUAAAUGCAAAUGGACAGAGAGUAUUUAAAUAUGUGCUGGUUCUAGGAAGCAGAGUCUGUACUGUUACACAAACUUGAAAGGAUUGUUUGUAAAAUUACCAUACUGAGGAGGGCUAAACCUUAUUUUCAACCUUAAUACUUCAAGUUUUCCUAAUUUCAGUGUACUUAAAUGGCAUUCCACUGUUCAGACCUAGAAACUACUACAGCAAAUGACUGGCCAAAAAAAAUGGUAUUUUUAAAACAGUAUUGGAACCUCACUACACAAAUGUCCAUCCAUUUCAAUGGAAAAGGUGAGAAAUUAGGCUCAUUGUAGUGUCUGAAAAUCUCCAACUGUGGCUUCCUUCAUGCCUAGAAGGUUUUUGCUUCACAGAUUCAGGUAUUCCCAUCAAAGCAAAUCAGUCUCUGGAGCCUGGGAAAGGCAGAGACCAAAAAAAUAAAAAGGGCUCAAAAAAAAACCAACAGGUAAAUAAACAAUAUAAUAGCAAGAUACAGGAAAGGGAAAUGAAUCUGGCUACAAUGCCAGGGAGCUACCAUGUGUGCAAUACUAGGCAUAAAGCAAAGUAGAACUUACAAGUGCUUCUACAUGAAUUCUAGAAGGCUGAAAAAUAAAACAAAAGUAUAUUUGGCAUCAAACAGCCACCCUCUGCAACAGGCAUCCCACACACCUGCCCACAGGAGGAUAACCUGUGGGAUAGUGUUGUCAGUAUUCACUUAGCAGGAUUGAUGGAUUAAGCUGUGGGAGCAGGGAAGAUGCUCUGCAGGUGAAAUUUACCGGGAUAAAAAAAUUACAGAAGAAAUGCAUCACAGAAUCCCUUUGGGCAGGAAACCCAGCCUGUAAGAGCCAAAAAUACAGUUCCAGGCCUGUGCUACCAAUUCUCAGUUCAAGGCAAUGGCAACAAUCAGGAAACAUUAAAUAAGAUCGGGGAAGCUGCAAAGUUAGAACAAGUCACAACAAAGGAAGACUUCAAUCUGGGCCAGUGCUUCACCAGGAUAACAGAAGAGCAGUCUGAACUCAAAAAAGAGAUGCUAUUUUGGGUUUGUCCUCAGCUUUCUACAUUCCUUUUUAGUGCCCACAGCAUGACUCUGUCUUGACUGGGGUGCAGUGUUCCUCCUGGGCAGAAGCCUAAGGUCCCAAAGACAUGAUCAGCUCCCAUCACACCUCAUUCCUCCUUUUUACUCCUUUAUGUUGUCCACACAUGUGGGCUGCUAAUCUCUUGUCUACAGAUUCUCACACACAGAACUGGCAGGUAUUCCAGAGAAUGUUAUCACAGAAAUCCUGUAUUUCAAUGGCCCACUUGGCAACCUCGAGUUACCCUGGAAGCAUCCCUCCCUGAACCUCCCACACAGAAACAGAGUUAACUGCAUUUAUUCACACAAUCACCCACAGCACUGACAGCUUCCCCUUAUCCUUGGGGGCAUCAUCUCUGCUGCAGGAGCCAAGGAUGCAAUGACCAUGUCUGGAAGGUGGAUCUUGUCCAAAAGGUGAGGUCCAUCCUCAGCAGCAGUGCAGAGGGGCUGCCCCUGCAGGUCUCACCUCUGAGCCUCUCUACUAAGUUUGGGCAGUUCAAGCACUUUAAGAGCAAACCUCUGCUCUCAGUGCUGAGAGCUCCCUGAACCACACCCACAAACACACUGAAGACCUGCUCCAUCAUGUCAUCUGCAUGCUCUUAGACACAGAUUUUUACCUGUCUCCUGUGUUUAACAGUGCGUUAGCUACUAGAAGCUGAUGCUAAUUAAGCUUCUCCUUUAAGUAGUGAUUAAACUUACUCUCCUUCCACUCUAUUCUACUUUUAUUAAGUAAAUUAAAAAUAGGUGAGAUCUAUCCAAAAGCAAGUUCCAUUUUUUGAGUUUAUGGGCUUCUUCUUAAAUGCUGACUUGAGGCAUUCUCUCUUCGCUGAUGACAGCCAACCUUUUCAUUGUCCCCUGUUCUACAUACAAGUUAUAAAUUUCUUUUCCUUUCACUCCUGCAUCUCUGAACAGGUUAGGCAUUCUCAGUAUCCCAGAUGAUCAGGCAGAAAGCUGACUAAUGCUGUAGGUGGGUCAAAAAUCUUACUUACAGAACUAGGGAAAACAAACGCAAACAAUUACUGCAGAAUUUUUAAAAUGUGCUGUUAUUUUAUUACUGCAAAAUGUUAGAAAUUUGAGAUUUGAGUUUUCCUAACUUAAUUCCAGGAUACAGUGCAAUAGCAGAUACUGCACAGAACCAAAUAUGGGUUUCCUGUAAAUCCUAGCAGUGUGAGAAUUUAUCAAGCAAGUGAUCAACAGAAGGCCAGAAUCAGGAUAUACACAAGUAAUUCCUCACACACCUACAGCCAAACUAAGACUAAUUUGAAAAAGGACAGAGGACAAAUUGUGAAGACAAUGGACAGCUUUGAUUGGGGAAUAAAAGGCAACCAGGCUGUUAGGCAGCAUCAGGAACGGGAUGGAACAUAAUAUGGAAAUUAUUCUAAUGGCAUUAGCUCAAUCAGAAGCACAUCAGCAGCUCUGAUGCCAUGUCUGGUUCUGGGCACAUUGUUCACAAAGAAAAAUCCCAGACUCCUGGCCAAGACAGCUUGCUACUAUUCUUGAAAUUCAUUUUCCUAUGAAAUACAUACUUGAGCCUAAAGCUAGAAAAAACCCUCCAACCACCACUGAACAGGUUUUCAUCAGAAAGGAAAUAACUUGUCUUUCUAGCCAAAGGAGAAGUAUCUUCAAACACCUGCAGUGUGAAGCACUGCCUUCCACAGCUCAGCAAGGAGUGCCUCCAGUUUAUCUCAAAUGAAUAUUCAAAUGCUGGCAGCCAUCAUUCCAGCACAAGAAGUCUUUGGCUGAAGUGAGGACAGUCUCAUGGAUUAAUUGAGGGAAGAAUUCCCACAGAAGGAAAGCUACUCGGAACAAAGGACAAUGGUGGCACAAGAAAUGAUGCAUACAAAUAGGUGUGUUUCCAUUUCCAUACAAAUGGAAACUAAAAGUUUCUGAUUUUCAGAAGACUGCUUGUACAACAGUAGCAGUGAAGUGCUUAAAUUCUUUGUGGUCCCAAAGAGAUACAACUGGACAGUAUAUAUACAUUAUUUCAUACACACACACAAUUUCUAUGAAUACACAGGCACAAAGAAAUUCUAUUUUCCUGGGAUAAAUGGAAAGCUCACACAUUUCCUUUUGUAUGUAUACAAACUUCAAAGACACCACAAGAGCAAAUUUUGUUCUGAUGCACCACAGAUUACAGCAUUAUUUCCAACACCUUCUUUUACAACUGACUUCUUUCUUUGGAAAACAAAAGACUUGAAAGCCACAGGUUUCUGGAAUGCAUUUUCUACAUGUGCAAUUUAUGGAGGCACUCAAAAACAGCCUACAAUAUAUAUAGCAGGCAAACUGAGAAAGCUCAGGGCAAGAGGAAUUUUCCUAAUCUACUUAAGCACAGGAUUUUUUUAGUGCCAACAUGGCUGCUGCUAUAUGCCUGUGUCUCCCUGUCCUAAGCCUGUUUGCUUUUUGUUUUCUGUUUAGUUUGAUUCUCUGGGGGGGCUUAAUUGUUUUUUGCUUUUUUGUCUUCAUGGUAGGAUUCCUUUAUUAUCUGAUUUUACGGCUGCCAUUACCAUUUUCUGUGGGAGCACUUUUUUGUUUGUUUUAUGGCCCACCUUCAGUGAAUCCUCUUUAGUACAAUCAACCUUUUCGGAUUUUUGCUCCGCUCCAUUAUUCUACUGCACUACAGUUUACUUCUGAGGGAUUUGCUGCAAGACUCUCAGCCCCAAUUUCCAGCAAAUGAGGACUACAGAAGGAUUCAUCUGCUGCUGAUACACAGAAGUCUCAGCUGAAAUACUUCUUAUGCCACAAAUGUGUCAUUUGGGAUGGAUGGAGGGAAAUCACCACAUCUUUUCACAAGAGGAUGCACUCCAGGAGUAGGAAUGAAACUCCUGAAGACACCGUGGAUCAAGAUUUCUUCCAGGAGAAGGAAGAGCUACCAAGAAUCCAAAGGCUUUGUCAUUUGACUGCCAUUCCACCAGCAACUAUUGUGAGCUGUUACUUCAGGUUUUUGCAUCUCUAAUCACAGAGGUUUUCACCACUAAAAAAGGAAUUAGCAUCUUUGUGUUAAUCAGUGAAAAUAUUUACUUGAAUUUUGACUUGGUUAUUAAAUUUCAUACUGCACAUACUUACAGUACAGACUUUAGAAAUACACUGCUUGAUUAAUCUCCACCAUUAAUGCUGCAACAGGAGGAGAGUGACAGGUGUCUCCUGAACAGCUUCUGGAGAUGAAGAUGCAAUUGUUCUUAACUGAGAAAGGAUUAUUUCAGAUCUAACUCUGAUUGCUGGCAGUGUUGUUAAUGCAUCAGCAUCUUGUAUUAUGUGCAAAAAUUAAAAUUAUAAUUCUGUAUGCUUUGGGGAAAGUUCUACUUUGUCCAGCAUCAGGGGACAACAGGAGCUAUCCUUCUUUUCUUUCAGCAUUAGCUUGUUAUUAUGUCUUGUGCAUCAGAAUGCAACCUCCCAUGUCCAAAAAUCAAUUUCUUGUAAAAAGAAAUUUCUUUCUCUCUGUUGAAAGUUCAAAUUGUUUUUAGCAAGUGAUCGUAUUUCAUAUUUUGCUGUUAUUGAAGUUUUAAUCUCCUCCCUGCAACUUGGAGGUAUUAUUGCAUAACCUCAGUGCAUAUUGGCUGCCCUUAAAUAUUGCAAUUGAGUUUUCCCCAUUGUUUCAAGACUGUCCUUGAGGAACAGCAUAAAUGGUUUUAUUUCUCAGUUAAUUCUUGAACUGUCUGCAAACCAGGCUGUGGUCAAAUGCUUGGAGGUGCCCAGGUCCCUCUGGAUGGCAUCGCUUCGCUCCAGCGUGUCACCCGCUCCUGAGUGCAGCAUGGUGUCACCAGCAAAUCUGCUGAGGGUGCCCUCAAUCCAACAUCACCAACAAAGCUGUUAAACAGGGUCAGUCCCAGCUGAGGAAACCCCUCAUCACCGGUCUCCACUUGGACAUCAGGCAUUGACCGCAACUCUGAGUGCAACAUCUAUUUCAACUUUCAUUUUUCUCACGUUACCUCAUUUUUAAUUAAGAAAGAUUUCCUCUGCAUUUUAUUUAAAAUUUUAACCUUUAAAAACUAAUAUCCUGCUCAAAUGCUAUGAAUGUUUAUCUCUACCUUAUUCCUCUCUCUUAUUGCAUUUUAUGAUCUUUACAGCUACUUUGACUCCUUUGGCUACAUUUUUUAAGCAUAAAUCAUCAAAAUGGCCUUAUUUUGAAAAAAUCUUUACUCCAUUCAAGGAAUUAAGUACAGUUUUUUUACUACAGCUUCAAAUAAAUUGACAAAUUUUUUUUGUCUUCAU